UCCUCUCUCCUCUUUGGCAUUUCUGCUCAUUUUUACAACUGCACCUGUCUUUCCAGGCAAAUGGGAAAGGGAGGUGGAGUAUACUGUGUAGAUGCUGGACGAAUGCAUGUAAACUGGUUAGGUAUAUUCAUGUGAAUAAAGGUGCAUCUAUAUUUAAAUACUUUGUAAUGUAAGUAAAUUUUAAAUUAUUGAGCCCAGCUAAUUUGAGGCACCAGUGAACUAACCUCUUCAGUGCUGGCAGUUCAUCUUAAUAGGAUGAAAACUACUCUAAAAUGAUCAUAACUGGAGCAGCCGUUUUUCUUAUAUAGGUCCGGACUGAGGAAGGAUGUAAUUCAAUGGAGAAAAUUAAUAUGAACGUUUGAUUUUAAUCACAGUGCAUUUUUUAAAUUAGCAGAUGUGAUAUGUCAGAGAGUGGAGUACAAAUCUUGGUGGGAACCGGGAAUGGAGAGCCAAAGAGGUAUGCGGGCAAGAAUUCCUUAGGUAGUAUACGUGCUUACGCAAAUAGUGUGAUAAUGUGAAUCUUACCUGUGCCUAAACUGAAGCUAGGAUGCCUAAUCUUUAUCAGGUUGUCUCUGUAGCAUUUAUGUUGGUGUGAGAUUCUGCUUUAAUGACAAAGAGGGUGACGUGGGAUAUAAAGUAGUUAGGUUGAGAAGAAGCAGAGAUUAGCUCUUGGGUAUAAUUCUGAUUUUUAAAAGGACUGCUAGAGUUUUCAAAGGUUAGGUAUGUUUUAGGUAGUUUGAGUUGGGACAGAAAUGAGAAUAUUGAUAGUAAAGCAGUCUUGUUUUAAUCAUUAGCUCAGAUAUACUCCUGGUUAUUUAGUUAUUGAGAGUGCUGUCAGAAAAAUGAUUUUGAUACCAAAGGGUGUGGUUUGUGUAAGAUGGUCUGUGUCUUCAAAUUAUUGGAAUGUAGCUUGUGAAGGGUUGAUGCAUAAUGCGAUACGAUGGUGUGAGGUCGCUAGUGCAGGUGGAUGUUGAACUUUGCGUUCUAGGAUUACUUUUGUUUGCUAUCUUUGUUAAGGUGGUGGAGAGAAACCUCUGAAAUGCUGUUGUUUCCUUAUGCUCUUAAAGUACUGGUUUCAUUUCUCAUUGUGUGUGGGCUAAAAAAAGACAGGAAAAAUCAGUAGCAACCUACUAAGUGUGGUCUUACUGAGCUAGAUAGUGCAGUUGUCCUCUUUAAAGCAUUAAGUUUACAUUUUGAACACAGUUAUGAGCCAACACCCGCUUUGGAACUCUGAUUUCAUCGUGCCUAAGUACUUAAUUUAACCGUAGCUUUUGCUCCCGGUCAGGACACGGACAUUUCCUUUGGGAGUAACGUGAAAGCCGGACUGCGAUGGCUGCUAGAAAUUGUGCAUGCUGUGAGAAGUGUUCCCUGCAGCGAUGAGUUUAUAUGCUGUAAACCUUCUCUGUCUCUGAAGAUCUGGGUUGCAGAGGCGAAGAGUUUAGCAGAAAGCAUUAUGGAUCUGUGGAGCUUUGAUGCGGAUGGAGCCAUUCAAAGAGCUUGAUGGAAAAAAAGGGUGGAAAAUGGCUCCUCUGGUGAGAACUUUUUCAUCUGUAAAUACCAUCUUACUAUUGGAAGAAAGAAGACCUCAUCUCCUAGAAAUAUUUGUAAGAUCUUGGUAAAGUGCAUAUUGACCUAAUAAUCAGCAAACUUUACUGAUCAUC